rnacentral:rRNA from 1 species
GUCUGUGGCCAUCCCACCCUGAAUGUGCCUGAUCUGGUCUAAUCUCAGAAGCUAAGCAGGGUCAGCCCUGGUUAAUACUUGGAUGGGAGACAAUACUCAUAAGUGAAACAAAUCAGACU